rnacentral:rRNA from 1 species
UACGAAGGGGGCUAGCGUUGCUCGGAAUCACUGGGCGUAAAGCGCACGUAGGCGGGUCUUUAAGUCAGGGGUGAAAUCCUGGAGCUCAACUCCAGAACUGCCUUUGAUACUGAGGAUCUCGAGUCCGGGAGAGGUGAGUGGAACUCCGAGUGUAGAGGUGAAAUUCGUAGAUAUUCGGAAGAACACCAGUGGCGAGGGCGGCUCACUGGCCCGGUACUGACGCUGAGGUGCGAAAGCGUGGGGAGCAAACAGG